rnacentral:sRNA from 1 species
UUAGAAACAUCUUACCCGGUAGUCUUGC